AAUUCGAUAAAACCUACACCGACACUAGGUUUCAUGAUCUAGGGAAGCUUGCAG
rnacentral:sRNA from 1 species